CCUCCGGCGGCCGCAGCGGGGCCGGGGCCGGGGCAGGGGAAGGAAAAAUGAAAUUUCCAACAGUUCAGUAAUCAUACUUUCCAUCCUCGCUGUCUUCUGGAGUCGCUGCUCCUUCCCACCACCGUGCACAUGCUGGGGCAGGUUGUGUUUCCUAUUGCCCCCAGCCCAUGCCCGUGUUGCCUGUGCUCUCUGUGCAGUUGAAGAUAAACAGAUCAGGCACCAGGAACAGUGCAGCUCUCUGCCACUACCUUCCAAUUCUGUUAAAAUUAUUAUUAAUAUUUUGCUUUCACUGCCUCACAGAUCAGAAGAAGCUUGUUUUUUUCUUGUCUUACUCUGAUCAUUGCCUGCCUUUACUUUCCCAUAUAAGAAGUUCAAAUUUGGACUCGCUCCAUCCUUUUUGUUUCCUGUCUUUUGUGGAAAAUGGUAGCAAGCCUCUCUUCCCACUGUGGAUAAAAAUAGAGCUUUUCACUUUCUUAAAAUUGAAAAUUGGUUAUAAUUUCUAAUAUCAAUCAAAUACACAGCUGGUAGAAUUCUGCCAUUCCUAUCCUAGAAAAUAUUAAAAGAAGAAAAAGUUCUUUUUAAGGGAGAUCUAGGCAUAGUGAAAUAUUCUAAGUGCUACCUGAGGGGCUCUCACCAACCAAGUAGGAAACAUUUCAGGCUGGAGCACUGCUAUUCUAGAAUGUGGUCAUUGUCACUUCUGGUCACAACAGAUGGAUCCAGGGAGAAGUUGUGGGUAUGUCUACACAGGGAGUUUGGUGUCCAAUGUUGACUGGUUUACAGGUGAAUCCUAAAUGCACUUACAUGAGAACUGAUAGGACAAUUCUUAGGAAUCUGGUGUUAAGAAUGCUUCUAUAAAUUAAUCACUAAAUAAAAUCUGGUGAAGUGCUAGAGCAGUUGAA